rnacentral:tRNA from 1 species
GCCCGGAAGACCGUCGAGGCCAAGGGCGGGACGUUGCCGCCGCCUCCGCCGGGUCUCGACGGCAGCCGGUUCCGGUUCGUCGCCGGUCCGGGCG